UUUGAUUUUCUAUUAAAAUAUUUACAUCUCUACUAUCUUCUAUAUAUGAAUUGAAGGGGCUCAUGAAAAGACUAAACCAGACAUCAUAUAUUUGUGAUAUUUGUGAAAGAGUAACCAAAUUGUGAAAUACAUAGUUGGCUAGUUACUUCUUCGACGAAAAUAGAGAUCUCACCGGCUUUCUCCUCGACUUCUUGGCAAAUAUACCGAACCAUAUGCUGGAUUUGCUUCGACUUGUUUAAGUAGUUCAUUUCAGAAUCAGAGAAGACCCAGAUUGCUUCUACACCAUAUCUGAAUAUCUAUAAACCACUUUCUACUCACGAGUGAGUCAUUGAAAACCCAAACUAACAACAAACAAGCUUAAAAUGAAGAAAAUUUCAAAAAAAUUGGACAAAUCGAAAAGUUAGGGUUUGGGAUCUACCAGCUAUUUGUUAACGAAAUUUGACGGAGGGACAAUGCCAUUACCGAAAUUAAAAAGCUACGAUAAAGGCUGAAUGAAGAGAGAAUGUGAGUGAGGGCUGAACAAAGAGAGAAUGAGAGUGAGGGUUGAACAAAGAGCAACUGAGAGUGAGGGCUGAACGAAGAGCGAAUGAGAGUGAGGGCAGAAGGAAGCAAGAAUGAGAAUGAGG
rnacentral:lncRNA from 1 species